GAAUCCAGGAUUGACCUUGAACAGGUAUAUUUCGUUCUUUGCUAUUCCUGCAUGUGAUGUUAUCUUCGAGUUGGCUAUGCUUGCUGAUGAAAUCCUGUGAUUUUAGCAGAAUAACUUUUCUGUGACUAGUUUUCCACUCCAUUAGUGUCUUGUUCACGUGCUACUGGGGUCUGGGGGUGAAGAGCUUUAACCUUGUAUGCUAAUAAGUAAUUACAGAAUAUUGUACUUGGCUUGGUUUGUCCCUAAAUAUUGUUAAGCAGCUGUGCCCAUUUAUUCAUUCUAUUUUGGUUUUAAAUUGAUUGGUUGAAUAGUAGAAAGAAUGCGAGAGGUAUAAUACCAAAAUUUGGAAUUCUCAUUUGGUAUUGAUUUGUGUUUGCUCUGCAUUCAAAUAUGAAGAAAGGGCCACCAACAAUCACCAAUUACUAAAUGGCCUUUGCAUAGAGAUUCCAUUGUGUGUACAUGGACAUUUGAUUCCAUUGUGUGUACAUGCUAUUGCCAUUAGUAAGUUCAAGCCACUAUUUACAAACAAACCGCUUGUGAAAUUGGCGAUUAGCACAUGCCUUCUCUGCUUAUUAAGUUGCUCAUAUCAAAACUUUGAAAGGAGUAUUAAGAUUCUUUUUAACCUUCUAUUUUUCUCUGACAGCCAGAACAUCGGAUUAGUGG
rnacentral:misc_RNA from 1 species